AUUCAGCUGACGAGUCCCAAGUAGGACGAAACGCGCAUUCUAGAAU
rfam:Trichobilharzia regenti genome assembly, scaffold: TRE_scaffold0006122